AUUAUCUUGGCAGAGAAAUGCAUUUGAUUUAGAAUCAAAAAAUGUAAAUUAUAAUUACAGAUAAUA
rnacentral:tRNA from 1 species